UACGUAGGGGGCUAGCGUUGUCCGGAUUUAUUGGGCGUAAAGAGCGUGUAGGCGGCCAGGUAGGUCUGCUGUGAAAACUCGAGGCUCAACCUCGAGACGUCGGCGGAAACCAUCUGGCUAGAGUCCGGAAGAGGGGAGUGGAAUUCCUGGUGUAGCGGUGAAAUGCGCAGAUAUCAGGAAGAACACCCGUGGCGAAGGCGGCAUCCUGGACCGGCAUUGACGCUGAGGCGCGAAAGCCAGGGGAGCAAACGGG
rnacentral:rRNA from 1 species